rnacentral:rRNA from 2 species
UAGAGUUUGAUCCUGGCUCAGGAUGAACGCUGGCUGUGUGCCUAAUACAUGCAUGUCGAGCGAAGGUAGCAAUACCUUAGCGGCGAAUGGGUGAGUAACACGUACUCAACGUACCCUUCAGUUUGGGAUAGCGGGUGGAAACAUCCGAUAAUACCAAAUACUUAUUGUUUUCGCAUGAAAAUAAUAGAAAAGGAGCGAUUGCUUCGCUGGAGGAUCGGGGUGCGCAACAUUAGCUAGUUGGUGAGGUAACGGCCCACCAAGGCGAUGAUGUUUAGCGGGGUUGAGAGACUGAACCGCCACACUGGGACUGAGAUACGGCCCAGACUCCUACGGGAGGCAGCAGUAGGGAAUUUUCCACAAUGAGCGAAAGCUUGAUGGAGCGACACAGCGUGCAGGAUGAAGGCCCUAUGGGUUGUAAACUGCUGUGGUAAGUGAAGAAAAAGUAGUGUAGGAAAUGACAUUACCUUGACGGUAGCUUAUUAGAAAGCAACGGCUAACUAUGUGCCAGCAGCCGCGGUAAUACAUAGGUUGCAAGCGUUAUCCGGAAUUAUUGGGCGUAAAGCGUCUGUAGGUUGUUUGUUAAGUCUGGCGUUAAAUUUUGGGGCUCAACCCCAAACCGCGUUGGAUACUGGCAAGCUAGAGUUAUGUAGAGGUUAGCGGAAUUCCUUGUGAAGCGGUGAAAUGCGUAGAUAUAAGGAAGAACACCAAAAUGGCGAAGGCAGCUAACUGGGCAUACACUGACACUGAGAGACGAAAGCGUGGGGAGCAAACAGGAUUAGAUACCCUGGUAGUCCACGCCCUAAACGAUGAUCAUUAGCUGAUGGGGAACUCAUCGGCGCASUAACGCAUUAAAUGAUCCGCCUGAGUAGUACGUUCGCAAGAAUAAAACUUAAAGGAAUUGACGGGGAUCCGCACAAGCGGUGGAGCAUGUGGUUUAAUUUGAAGAUACGCGUAGAACCUUACCCACUCUUGACAUCUUCUGCAAAGCUAUGGAGACAUAGUGGAGGUUAACAGAAUGACAGAUGGUGCAUGGUUGUCGUCAGCUCGUGUCGUGAGAUGUUCGGUUAAGUCCUGCAACGAGCGCAACCCUUGUCCUUAGUUACUAACAUUAAGUUGAGCACUCUAAGGAGACUGCCCGAGUAAUUGGGAGGAAGGUGGGGAUGACGUCAAAUCAUCAUGCCUCUUACGAGUGGGGCAACACACGUGCUACAAUGGCCGAUACAAAGAGAAGCAAGAUGGUGACAUGGAGCAAACCUCAAAAAGUCGGUCUCAGUUCGGAUUGAAGUCUGCAACUCGACUUCAUGAAGUCGGAAUCGCUAGUAAUCGUAGAUCASUACGCUACGGUGAAUACGUUCUCGGGUCUUGUACACACCGCCCGUCACACCAUGGGAGCUGGUAAUGCCCGAAGUCGGUUUAUAAACAAACUGCCUAAGGCAGGACUGGUGACUGGGGUUAAGUCGUAACAAGGUAUCCCUACGAGAACGUGGGGAUGGAUCACCUCCUUU